GAUGAACGCUGGCGGCGUGCCUAAUACAUGCAAGUCGAGCGAACAGACGAGGAGCUUGCUCCUCUGACGUUAGCGGCGGACGGGUGAGUAACACGUGGAUAACCUACCUAUAAGACUGGGAUAACUUCGGGAAACCGGAGCUAAUACCGGAUAAUAUAUUGAACCGCAUGGUUCAAUAGUUAAAGACGGCUUUGCUGUCACUUAUAGAUGGAUCCGCGCCGCAUUAGCUAGUUGGUAAGGUAACGGCUUACCAAGGCGACGAUGCGUAGCCGACCUGAGAGGGUGAUCGGCCACACUGGAACUGAGACACGGUCCAGACUCCUACGGGAGGCAGCAGUAGGGAAUCUUCCGCAAAGGGCGAAAGCCUGACGGAGCAACGCCGCGUGAGUGAUGAAGGUCUUCGGAUCGUAAAACUCUGUUAUUAGGGAAGAACAGAUGUGUAAGUAAAUAUGCACGUCUUGACGGUACCUAAUCAGAAAGCCACGGCUAACUACGUG
rnacentral:rRNA from 1 species